rnacentral:rRNA from 1 species
UGCAAGUCGAGCGGUAGAGAGAAGCUUGCUUCUCUUGAGAGCGGCGGACGGGUGAGUAAUGCCUAGGAAUCUGCCUGGUAGUGGGGGAUAACGUUCGGAAACGGACGCUAAUACCGCAUACGUCCUACGGGAGAAAGCAGGGGACCUUCGGGCCUUGCGCUAUCAGAUGAGCCUAGGUCGGAUUAGCUAGUUGGUGAGGUAAUGGCUCACCAAGGCGACGAUCCGUAACUGGUCUGAGAGGAUGAUCAGUCACACUGGAACUGAGACACGGUCCAGACUCCUACGGGAGGCAGCAGUGGGGAAUAUUGGACAAUGGGCGAAAGCCUGAUCCAGCCAUGCCGCGUGUGUGAAGAAGGUCUUCGGAUUGUAAAGCACUUUAAGUUGGGAGGAAGGGCAGUUACCUAAUACGUGAUUGUUUUGACGUUACCGACAGAAUAAGCACCGGCUAACUCUGUGCCAGCAGCCGCGGUAAUACAGAGGGUGCAAGCGUUAAUCGGAAUUACUGGGCGUAAAGCGCGCGUAGGUGGUUAGUUAAGUUGGAUGUGAAAUCCCCGGGCUCAACCUGGGAACUGCAUUCAAAACUGACUGACUAGAGUAUGGUAGAGGGUGGUGGAAUUUCCUGUGUAGCGGUGAAAUGCGUAGAUAUAGGAAGGAACACCAGUGGCGAAGGCGACCACCUGGACUGAUACUGACACUGAGGUGC